UACGAAGGGGGCUAGCGUUGCUCGGAAUUACUGGGCGUAAAGCGCACGUAGGCGGAUUGUUAAGUCGGGGGUGAAAUCCUGGAGCUCAACUCCAGAACUGCCUUCGAUACUGGCGAUCUCGAGUUCGGGAGAGGUGAGUGGAACUGCGAGUGUAGAGGUGAAAUGCGCAGAUAUCAGGAGGAACACCAAUGGCGAAGGCAGCUCGCUGGGACGUGACUGACGCUGAGACGCGAAAGCGUGGGGAGCAAACAGG
rnacentral:rRNA from 1 species